rnacentral:rRNA from 1 species
UACAGAGGGUGCAAGCGUUGUUCGGAAUUACUGGGCGUAAAGCGCGUGUAGGCUGCGAUGUAAGUCAGGUGUGAAAGCCCUCGGCUUAACUGAGGAAGUGCACUUGAUACUGUGUCGCUUGAGUGUCGGAGGGGGUGGCGGAAUUCCCGGUGUAGAGGUGAAAUUCGUAGAUAUCGGGAGGAACACCUGUGGCGAAGGCGGCCACCUGGACGACAACUGACGCUGAGACGCGAAAGCGUGGGUAGCAAACAGG